rnacentral:rRNA from 1 species
UCGGUGGUUUCCGUGGUGCAUUUGCAGGUGGAGUGCGCCGAGGCGCUCGGUGCAGCGGCAUGAGCUUGGCUUUGAGGCCAGCCUCGCAAGAGGUCUGGUACCCGGGCCAGGGGAGUGCUGUUUGCGCUGGGCGCAGCAAAGGGCAAUGGUCUCGGGCUCGUGUGGGUGCCGAGCUGGCGGUCGGCGUCGGUCGCGUGCGACACGUGCCAUCAGUCAGUUCGGUCCUGCUCGAGCUCACAUCUGCUCGACCUCGGUGUAAAAGCCGGUCAUCUGUCCGACCCGUCUUGAAACACGGACCAAGGAGUUUAGCGUGUGCGCGAGUCAUUGGGCGUUGAAAACCCAAAGGCGCAAUGAAAGUGAAUGCCUCCCUUGCGGAGCUGAUGUGUGAUCCUGGAUGCCUCGGCAUACGGGGCGCAACAUAGUCCCGUCCCGAAUGCUUGCAGUGGGGCGGAGACAGAGCGUACGCGCUGAGA